GGAUUAGAUACCCUGGUAGUCCACGCCGUAAACGAUGUCUACUAGCCGUUGGGGAACUUAGAUUUCUUAGUGGCGCAGCUAACGCACUAAGUAGACCGCCUGGGGAGUACGGCCGCAAGGUUAAAACUCAAAUGAAUUGACGGGGGCCCGCACAAGCGGUGGAGCAUGUGGUUUAAUUCGAUGCAACGCGAAGAACCUUACCAGGCCUUGACAUCCAGAGAAUCCUACAGAGACGUGGGAGUGCCUUCGGGAAUUCUGUGACAGGUGCUGCAUGGCUGUCGUCAGCUCGUGCCG
rnacentral:rRNA from 1 species